rnacentral:rRNA from 1 species
UGCUGGAGGUAUCAGAAGUGCGAAUGCUGACAUAAGUAACGAUAAAGCGGGUGAAAAGCCCGCUCGCCGGAAGACCAAGGGUUCCUGUCCAACGUUAAUCGGGGCAGGGUGAGUCGACCCCUAAGGCGAGGCCGAAAGGCGUAGUCGAUGGGAAACGGGUUAAUAUUCCCGUACUUGGUGUUACUGCGAAGGGGGGACGGAGAAGGCUAUGUUGGCCGGGCGACGGUUGUCCCGGUUUAAGCGUAUAGGUGUGUGUUCCAGGUAAAUCCGGUUCACUUUAACACUGAGGCGUGAUGACGAGGCGCUACGGUGCUGAAGCAACAAAUGCCCUGCUUCCAGGAAAAGCCUCUAAGCAUCAGGUAACAUCAAAUCGUACCCCAAACCGACACAGGUGGUCAGGUAGAGAAUACCAAGGCGCUUGAGAGAACUCGGGUGAAGGAACUAGGCAAAAUGGUGCCGUAACUUCGGGAGAAGGCACGCUGACAUGUAGGUGAAGUGAUUUACUCAUGGAGCUGAAGUCAGUCGAAGAUACCAGCUGGCUGCAACUGUUUAUUAAAAACACAGCACUGUGCAAACACGAAAGUGGACGUAUACGGUGUGACGCCUGCCCGGUGCCGGAAGGUUAAUUGAUGGGGUCAGCGCAAGCGAAGCUCCUGAUCGAAGCCCCGGUAAACGGCGGCCGUAACUAUAACGGUCCUAAGGUAGCGAAAUUCCUUGUCGGGUAAGUUCCGACCUGCACGAAUGGCGUAAUGAUGGCCAGGCUGUCUCCACCCGAGACUCAGUGAAAUUGAACUCGCUGUGAAGAUGCAGUGUACCCGCGGCAAGACGGAAAGACCCCGUGAACCUUUACUAUAGCUUGACACUGAACAUUGAGCCUUGAUGUGUAGGAUAGGUGGGAGGCUUUGAAGUGUGGACGCCAGUCUGCAUGGAGCCGACCUUGAAAUACCACCCUUUAAUGUUUGAUGUUCUAACGUGGACCCGUGAUCCGGGUUGCGGACAGUGUCUGGUGGGUAGUUUGACUGGGGCGGUCUCCUCCUAAAGAGUAACGGAGGAGCACGAAGGUUGGCUAAUCCUGGUCGGACAUCAGGAGGUUAGUGCAAUGGCAUAAGCCAGCUUGACUGCGAGCGUGACGGCGCGAGCAGGUGCGAAAGCAGGUCAUAGUGAUCCGGUGGUUCUGAAUGGAAGGGCCAUCGCUCAACGGAUAAAAGGUACUCCGGGGAUAACAGGCUGAUACCGCCCAAGAGUUCAUAUCGACGGCGGUGUUUGGCACCUCGAUGUCGGCUCAUCACAUCCUGGGGCUGAAGUAGGUCCCAAGGGUAUGGCUGUUCGCCAUUUAAAGUGGUACGCGAGCUGGGUUUAGAACGUCGUGAGACAGUUCGGUCCCUAUCUGCCGUGGGCGCUGGAGAACUGAGGGGGGCUGCUCCUAGUACGAGAGGACCGGAGUGGACGCAUCACUGGUGUUCGGGUUGUCAUGCCAAUGGCACUGCCCGGUAGCUAAAUGCGGAAGAGAUAAGUGCUGAAAGCAUCUAAGCACGAAACUUGCCCCGAGAUGAGUUCUCCCUGAGACUUUA